rnacentral:rRNA from 1 species
UACGUAGGGUGCGAGCGUUAAUCGGAAUUACUGGGCGUAAAGCGUGCGCAGGCGGUUUUGUAAGGCCGAUGUGAAAGCCCCGGGCUCAACCUGGGAAUGGCAUUUGGGACUGCAAGGCUGGAGUUUGGCAGAGGAGACUGGAAUUCCUGGUGUAGCAGUGAAAUGCGUAGAUAUCUGGAGGAACACCGGUGGCGAAGGCGGCAUCCUGGACCAAUUCUGACACUGAGGAGCGAAAGCCAGGGGAGCAAACGGG